rnacentral:sRNA from 1 species
CGAGGUCGCUCGGCGCAGCUGUUGCGGGGCCAUGGCGGGGACGGCGCUCAAGAGGCUGAUGGCCGAGUACAAACAAUUAACACUGAAUCCUCCGGAAGGAAUUGUAGCAGGCCCCAUGAAUGAAGAGAACUUUUUUGAAUGGGAGGCAUUGAUCAUGGGCCCAGAAGACACCUGCUUUGAGUUUGGUGUUUUUCCUGCCAUCCUGAGUUUCCCACUUGAUUACCCGUUAAGUCCCCCAAAGAUGAGAUUUACCUGUGAGAUGUUUCAUCCCAACAUGUCACCCUAUGGGGCCAACUCCUGGAGAAGGCAACACAGAAGUGGGAAACUUCCUGAUUUUGUGGAUGUGGAUCUUAGGUGGACAGCCUGAUGUCCAGGUCUACCCUGAUGGGAGAGUCUGCAUUUCCAUCCUCCACGCGCCAGGCGACGACCCCAUGGGCUACGAGAGCAGCGCGGAGCGGUGGAGUCCUGUGCAGAGCGUGGAGAAGAUCCUGCUGUCGGUGGUGAGCAUGCUGGCAGAGCCCAAUGACGAAAGUGGAGCUAACGUGGAUGCGUCCAAAAUGUGGCGCGAUGACCGGGAGCAGUUCUAUAAGAUUGCCAAGCAGAUCGUCCAGAAGUCUCUGGGACUGUGAGACCUGGCCUCGCACAGGCGCAUACACACCGCCAAGCAGCUCAGCAUUCUCCCCCGGCACACUUAGUGACAGUGAUGCUCUGUGCUGGUACCAAACAAGGCAGACUUGCAAGAACCACGGCAUCUUUUUUUUUUUUCAAACCUUUCCUACUUCAAACAGGCUUCUCUUCUGAAAUGAUGACUUAAUGUCGAAUAUUGACAGCUUACUGCAGUUUUACAGUAUUCCUCACAAAGGGCUUCAGGUAGAUUAUCAGAGCUGUCAGCACUACCUCUCCCCGCUGAAACCAGCAGUUCAUGGCUUCCUGUGGAUUCCCUCCCUCCCUGGAGUGUUGAGGGGGUUGUACCUGCCAGACUUCCAGGGGACGAUGGAAUACCCAGAACGCUCCUUCUGAAGAAAUGGGGCCCU